CCUACGGGGGGCAGCAGUGGGGAAUAUUGCACAAUGGGCGCAAGCCUGAUGCAGCCAUGCCGCGUGUGUGAAGAAGGCCUUCGGGUUGUAAAGCACUUUCAGCGGGGAGGAAGGCGUUAAGGUUAAUAACCUUGGCGAUUGACGUUACCCGCAGAAGAAGCACCGGCUAACUCCGUGCCAGCAGCCGCGGUAAUACGGAGGGUGCAAGCGUUAAUCGGAAUUACUGGGCGUAAAGCGCACGCAGGCGGUCUGUCAAGUCGGAUGUGAAAUCCCCGGGCUCAACCAGGGAACUGCAUUCGAAACUGGCAGGCUAGAGUCUUGUAGAGGGGGGUAGAAUUCCAGGUGUAGCGGUGAAAUGCGUAGAGAUCUGGAGGAAUACCGGUGGCGAAGGCGGCCCCCUGGACAAAGACUGACGCUCAGGUGCGAAAGCGUGGGGAGCAAACAGGAUUAGAUACCCCGGUAGUC
rnacentral:rRNA from 1 species